CUUUUCGAGGUCGGCCGCGUGGCUGGAAGACAUGGCCACUCCAGUCGGUGUUGAGCACGGCGAGCAGUCUCAGGCCUUUAGUGAUGAUGGUGCAGUCAGCCUCAGUUUCCAAAGCCGGAAAAGGAUCCUCUAGUAGCCACGGUGUGGCAGCUGCUCUGAACCAGGACCUGGACCCGGACCCAAAGUGCCAUGUCUUUAAUGUGAGUUAGCUCCCAGCGAUGCCAGAUGGGAUCAGCACAGCCCUGCCUCUGCUGCUAAUUGUUCCUCUAAAGUAAUCGCCAUGCGUUCUUUGGGCUUCAUCUUUAAAGGAAUGAAGCAACUGAGAUUAUUCUGGAAAACCUUUUGGCAGUUAGUGAAAUUAGAGUACAACUAAGAACAUUUUCAGACCUCCACUGUGGAUGACCUGGGUAUAAUCUCACAAAUCGAUGGGACUGCAAGGAUUGUAAACUGAAAUGAACAUGAUUAUACUCUGUUGGAAGAGCCUAAGAGGAAACUGAUGCCAUGAGUUUCAGAGAGUAAUGCUUAACCCCAGUUACACAGGAUGCCGUCUUGUGUUUCCUCUUGUUUAGUUACCCACUACAGUGAUUUUGUGAUCUGCUAAUGGGUUGCCACCCACAACCAUUGCUUUAGCACUUUUACUUCAAAUCAAUGAAGGAUUGAUAAAAGUUCUCCUGGUGUCUCCGCAGAGUGCCUUCCAGGAACAGAUCUUUGCAUAGAAUAUCAGUGGUUUCCUUUUUUGUUUCAAAUAGUGGUCAGAAAAUACCCAGUGUUGACUCACCAAGGCAAUCAGCUUCCUUUUUCCCUUUUUUUGUUUUUUUUUUAACAUUUUAUAUUUUUGCUUUAUUUUAUUUUAUUUUAUUUUAUUUUAUUUUAUUUUAUUUUAUUUUUUGAGACGGAGUUCCACUCUGUCGCCAGGCUGGAGUGAAGUGGUACAAUCUUGGCUCACUGCAACCUCCACCUCCCGGGUUCAAGCAAUUCUCCUGGCUCAGCCUCCUGAGUGCUGGGACUACAGGCGCGUACCUUCUUUAGUAGAGACUGGGUUUCACCAUGUUGGCCAGGAUGGUCUCUAUCUCCUGACCUUGUGAUCUGCCUGCCUCAGCUUCCCAAAGUGCUGAGAUGACAGGUGUGAGCCAUCAGACCCAGCAUUUUUUUUUUUAAUUUAAAUUUAAAUUUUUUUUCAUUUUUUUGAGAGGUUUUUUUUGUUUUGUUUUGUUGUUGUUGUUGUUGUUGUUUUUGAGACAGUCUUGCUCUGUCACCCAGGCUGGGAGUGCAGUGGCAUGAUCUCUGCAACCUCUACCUCCCAGGUUCAAGCAAUUCUUGUGCCUCAGCCUCCCAAGUAACUGGGACUACAGGUGCACGCUACCACACCUGGCUGAUUUUUUUUGUUUUAGUAGAGACAGGGUUUCAACCAUGUUGCCCAGGUUGGUCUCAAACUCCUGAGCUCAGGCAAUCCACCCGCCUUGGCCUCCCAAAGUGCUAGGAUUACAGGUGUGAGCCACCACACCCAGCUAUUUUUUCUUUCGUUUUUUAAUUUUAAAGUUGGGGGGGGGUCUCAAUUUGUUACCCUGGCUGGUCUCGAACUCCCGGACUUAAGCGAUCCUCUGGCUCCAAGCCCACUACCAGUCUCAGGUUUCUUUACUAAAAGAUCACUACCUUUUUUUCUCUUAUCUGCUGCCAUGUGAGAUGUGGCUUUCACCUUCCGCCAUGAUUGUGAGGCCUUCCCAGCCAUGUAGAACUAAAAACAGCCUUGACAUAUGCUGUUGUGUCCAAAAUUGGUGGAUUCCUGACUUCACUGACCUCAAGAAGGAAGCCACAGACCCUCACGGU
rnacentral:lncRNA from 10 species